GUGGGAGAUUAGUCUGGAGCCUCGGGCGUGCUGGUCGGAAAACCGGUAGGGCUUCCCCGAACGGGGGCCGUCCGGCCGCACGUAACCCGUGGCACCCGACGCAUUUGUCUCCCGCCCGAAGGACGCCGCAGCCGGUUGGGUAGUGCAAGCGUGACGGCCAGAGGGGCGGACGAUGGCAGGUGGCCGGUGGGGGGUCUCGUACCCUCCGCCGGUUGUUAGCCGGUCCGUCAGUGGCCCGUCACCCGACCGAGGUGUCACUAGGCCCUUCGGGGCCUCUACGUUUCCUCCUGGAAGUCGGGACUGGGCGUCGCAGGCGAAUUCCGCCGCGUGGUCGCACUCUCGAGAGUGGACCUGCGAACGGAGCGCACCGUUGGCGGCGCCGGACCCGUCGGAGGCUGGAGGCUUGCGGCGAGUAGGUCGGUCACCCACCCGACCCGUCUUGAAACACGGACCAAGGAGUCUAACAUGUGCGCGAGUCAGUGGGUCUUGAACAGGCCCACGGGCGCAAUGAAAGCAAAGGUCGUCGCGACGGCNACCGAGUUGGGAUCCCGCCCCCCCNGGGGNNGGNNCANCAANCAACCNUNCUANUCCGNUUNCCCGUUNGGCNGAAUNUUAACCUNNNNCUUUGGAACCCAAAAANNGUNAAAUNNUCCCNGAAAAGAACAAGCCNAAAGAAANUUUUGUNGAAGUNCCCAACNGUUNUUAACUUCAAAUUCAUUNU
rnacentral:rRNA from 1 species